GACAGAGGGUGCAAACGUUGUUCGGAAUUACUGGGCGUAAAGCGUGUGUAGGCUGCUUCGCAAGUCGGGUGUGAAAGCCCUGGGCUCAACCUAGGAAGUGCACUCGAAACUGCGAAGCUUGAGUUCUGGAGAGGAAGGCGGAAUUCUCGGUGUAGAGGUGAAAUUCGUAGAUAUCGAGAGGAACACCGGUGGCGAAGGCGGCCUUCUGGACAGUGACUGACGCUGAGACGCGAAAGCGUGGGGAGCAAACAGG
rnacentral:rRNA from 1 species